rnacentral:rRNA from 1 species
UGCCUCAGUAACGGCGAGUGAAGCGGCAACAGCUCAAAUUUGAAAUCUGGCCCCAGGCCCGAGUUGUAAUUUGCAGAGGAUGCUUUUGGUGCGGUGCCUUCCAAGUUCCCUAGAACGGGACGCCAGAGAGGGUGAGAGCCCCGUACAGUUGGACACCAAGCCUUUGUAAAGCUCCUUCGACGAGUCGAGUAGUUUGGGAAUGCUGCUCAAAAUGGGAGGUAUAUUUCUUCUAAAGCUAAAUACCGGCCAGAGACCGAUAGCGCACAAGUAGAGUGAUCGAAAGAUGAAAAGCACUUUGAAAAGAGGGUUAAACAGCACGUGAAAUUGUUAAAAGGGAAGCGCUUGUGACCAGACUUGCGUCCGGUGAAUCACCCAGCUCUCGCGGCUGGGGCACUUCGCCGGCUCAGGCCAGCAUCAGCUCGCUGUCGGGGACAAAAGCUUCAGGAACGUAGCUCUCUUCGGGGAGUGUUAUAGCCUGUUGCACAAUACCCUUCGGCGGGCUGAGGUACGCGCUCCGCAAGGAUGCUGGCAUAAUGGUCAUCAGCGACCCGUCUUGAAACACGGACCAAGGAGUCAACCUUAUGUGCGAGUGUUCGGGUGUCAAACCCCUACGCGUAAUGAAAGUGAACGCAGGUGAGAGCUUCGGCGCAUCAUCGACCGAUCCUGAUGUUCUCGGAUGGAUUUGAGUAAGAGCAUAUAGGGUUGGACCCGAAAGAAGGUGAACUAUGCGUGUAUAGGGUGAAGCCAGAGGAAACUCUGGUGGAGGCUCGCAGCGGUUCUGACGUGCAAAUCGAUCGUCAAAUAUGCGCAUGGGGGCGAAAGACUAAUCG